AGGGUGGAGGGAAAAGCCCCACCUCAAUGUUGUAAAGAAGAAAAAAGAGAGAGAAAAAAAGGGAGGAAAAAAAGAAAAUCACUGCAAUAUGGGCUGCGUUUCCCCCAGCUGAACUGUGCCUGCAGUUUAAUGGUGGGAAAGAUUUUAAAAAAUACAUUCAAUGGAGACAUGCUCCUCCUGCUAACCUCAUCUGUCAACCAUUAGUUCAUCAGAGCUGGUAACAGAGAGAACAGAGAGAUGGCACAACCCGUGGGACCAGAGGGGAGCUUCAUCUCUGAGAGCAAGACAAGGGCAAGGACCCGGAGACCUCCGCUUUACCGAUCCACAGCUGCUGGGGCCGCUUUACAGAACAUUCUCCAAGGACAGAAGUCAAGUCAACAUGUGUUAUCAAUACGGGAACAGCUGGUAAGAGCGGCAUCGUGGAGCAGAGGAAUGUCAGGAGUGAUGGAUCUUUCAGACAUCAGAUGAACCACACACAGUAAAAUCCAACAAAUGCAUCUCUCCAAGUCUUGGCAAGAGCUCAAUUGCACACGGCGUGCGCCUCGCUUAAGUACACCCUGCCAUUCAUGAAGAUUUUAAAUAAACAGCUGGCUGACAGGGUGUAUACACAUUCUUCAGCGCAUUUUUUUUUUCUUUUUUAGGUCUACAUCACUCAGGAAAGGUAAGUACACGUGAAAAUAAAUUGACUUAACAGCCGAGUUUUUAUUUUUUUCAUCUAGCUCAACAUUCCACAGAACAUGACUUUUUCUAUGACCAUGUUUAACUUAAACAAUGACUAAAUUACCACCACAUGAGUUAUUGUUGGAGGGUUAUGGAAAGGAUAAGCAUAGAAACAGCAGAAUAGAGCUAAUUCUUCAAUAAGGAGCAAACAUGGCAAACAAGCUGCACAGUAAGAAAGCAAUAGCAUCAAAUUCUAAUACCUUCUUCCUGCUAAAUGUUACACAGAUGCUUUUAUAAUCCAUCAUAACAGACAGCCAAAGCAGCUUGAGGGGAGUGUGGAAAAGCUCAGAGAAGUGGAUGGUCUUGACCUCGCAUUUCGAGGAAAGGAACAGUCGGAAUUUGAGUGUUUAAUCAAAAUGACAUGGAGUUGUUUAGGCUUUCGUGAGCAGAUUGGCAGCUUCCACAUCUCAUCUACAUUAUGCUUUUCACAUUCUUUCUCUUUUCAGAAAAUAAAUUAUUAUUAUCUCACCUUGUUUCUCUGUUAAACCUUUUUCUGCCUAUUAUCAACCAAGUUAACAAAUCCUAAUAAAUCCUGAUACGUGAAAAUGCAGGGUUCAGCACUUUAUAGAGGUAAGAAGUUCUAUCUUUUGAGGUGGUUUUGAUCAAAAGUUCUUCUGGCUUUAUAAAGGGUUUUGUAAAAGCUCUUCUUUUAGCCAUGCCUGAUUUUUUUUUACUUAUUUUCAGUCAAAUCCUUAUAGAUGACCUUAACAGUAUAUUGUUAGGGUUGUAAGAAAACACAGAUACACCAAAAUAUCACAAUAUUUCACUUCCCAAUACUGUAUCGAUUCUCUAAAGCACUGUAUGGAUUUUUAACUCAGGCUCUGUGGUUCAUUUACAGUAUGUGUUGUAUUUUAGCCACAGACCACUAGUUGGCAGCAGUCAGCCAACUAUUUGGCUCCUCCACACCUGAUAAGCCAGAGAAUAUAAUGCUCGCUCAAGUGUUAGCAUUGUGAGUAAACAUUAGCACUAAGUACCAAUGGCUGAACCUGAGCAGAUUAGACAGACACCCACUGCUUUCAAAGCUGAGGUAGGGUUGCCAAGUAUUCCAUUUUAGCUGGAAUGUCCCAUAUUUUAGGCUAAAUUGAAGUGUCCCAUGAUGCUCUUUCAUCCAACUGCAGCCUGCAAUCAGUGCCAUCACAAUACGGCAGGCAGAUAUUUGUCUGGACCCUUGAGCUGAAGGGGGUCAUCGAGGUACUGCAGUGGCCAAAUGCAAUGAUGACCAGAUGAAACACUGAGAGCAUUGAAAUGACUGUUGUUAGUUUGGUGGAUGACCAUAUUUUGUUUUAUAAUAAACUAAUGUUAUAAAUCUAAAAGCUGCCAAAAAUAUAUUAUCAAAUUAUGUAAUGGAAUAUUUGGCCUAACCAUUAAAAACAUGGAUGAAGUAGGAAAUAUAUUUUUUGGGAAAAACAUGGCAAUAUAUCAUAAUACAGUAUAUCGCUGUGCUGACAAUAUCACAAUAUAUUGCAAUAUAUCAUACGUAUCAUGACCUCUGUGUCACAUGUAUCAUAUCACCAAAUACUUGGCAAUUCACAGUAAAUAUUGUGCAGUUUGUGCUUAAAAAAGGAACGUGAUGAAAAUAUCAGGUAAAAAAAUCGCCUGCAUCACCCUUCAUCUGAUCUUCAGCUCUUUGGGAAUCGACAUGUUAGUGCUAAAUACUAUUUAAUGUCAGAUUCUGCUAUUUUGGUCUUUUUGAUAGAUUUAGCUGCAAAAACUGAAAGAAAAAGUGUACUAUUUCCAGGUUUCUGGUAAGAAAGUGCCAAAAGAUCUUACUGAAUAGAUCAUUUGCAAAGUUGUUUAAGUGUUUAACAAACAUCUGGUUCAUCCCUGAAGUUCAAGAGACUUAUGAUAUCCUGAAUAAUUCAUAUGGCAAUGUGGCUUAGUAAUCAAAUGAAUGUGAAUUUGAAAAAUGUCUAUUACUUGAUUGAAAGAAUAAAAUACUGUAGUGGCCUCUGUUGAAAGAAAAACUCUGAAAAGCUGAAUAGUGACCAAUACUGCUUUAAAAGAGGAUUUACUCAAGGCUUACUGUAAGUUAGUUGUUUAAGGUUGCUGAAACACUGAUGUGAGACUAGUUUUGACUCAUCACAACUAAUGUGUAGAAAUCAGACCUGCAGAUAUCCCGUGGGGCUUAAAAGCACUAACUUUGACAAACUGUGCAUCAGGUACUGUUUGAAAGCGAAGAGUUUCCUCACAUCUGUGAACCAGUGGUCAUAUUGACUUUGACGGUGAGCAAGUCGAAACCUGACAGGUAACUAAGUCUGACAGAAAAGUGCAGCAUGAGCAGUCAAACAGUAUGUAUGAGAGCAGAGUACAGUUAACCCUAUGAUGGAAAACACCCUGACACCUGGACAUCACACAGCAACUGUGUUCGUGUCGUAUACCCUGUUAGCUGACUUGAACUUGAACACUGCCUCUGUCUCUACUAAAGUAGGAGAACAGGUGUUAGAAACUCCUUUAACCCUAUCCGAUCUCCUCCCAGCAAGGUUUAGUUUGUUGGAGUAAAGCACUUUAUACAUGAGCUGAAGCAAGGUCAUGGCCUCUGUCAGUCAGCGGGCCUGGGAUACCCCAAACUAAACACUUCAAGACUUCAGAGGUCUGUCUCCUCUCAAUUUGUCUCAGCGCAUCUGUUCCUGAUCACCCUCAGACCAACGUUCACCCUCACAACAGUAAAACUCUUCUCUCAGUUCUUUUCCAAAUGUGCUUCAGAAAGACCCUCCUAACUGGCAUUUCUUCACUAAUUCUUACAUGAAUGUUUUUGCAAAUGUAAAAAAAAUGUUAUGGUGUACAACAAGUAAAGUAUUACAACAUAUUUGCUAUCAGUUUGUACUGAACAAUACUUCCAUCCCAGUGGUAAAGGAAACACUGUGACUCUGAUACUUUGACUCUACAGAUAACAUCUUACAGCAUCUGGUUUUCUGCCUCCCACGUCUUCAUGGUUUGCAAUAAUUUGUGGUCAGCAGUACUGUUUUGCUUUCUCCCAAAGGCCAAACUGAAACAUUAUCUACCAACAUUAUGUUUAAGUCAAAACCAUGGUUGUGGGCACUGGGAAGAGCGCUUCAUCCACUAAUUCAAUAGCCUCCCUUCAGCUAACAUAUGGAAUGAAGAUGAGGAGCUAGAAGCUUGAUGUCACCACUAAAUGACCCUAAGGUGACAGGUUGGGAAUAUUUCCUUGCUCAGUGCUCGCAGAACAAAGUAUGUUGAUGGAAUUGAUGUGAAACACUAUUUUUGUUUUUGCAGAUGUUUCCAUCCAAACUUGCCAAGGAAUUGUUGUUUUUUUAUUUUAAUUUUUUAGCAACAAAAAGGAAUGAAUUACUGAAAUGGUGCCUUGGUUGAUGAUCUAUGAAACAGCCAUAUUAUUUAUUAAUGACAUGACUUUUAGGAUAAAUAUAAUAAGUCAGUAAUAUUCUGAAUAUUUAUUAUCUUUUUUUUUUUCUUGAACCAUGUUUACAGUCCAUAAUUUGUGCAAUAAACAUGAUAAUUGCU